CCGAGGACUAAUAAAUACAUAUGUUUACAUUAAAUAAUAUUUUGGUACACGUUAAUAAAUAUAAUUAAUUGAAAAGGGCUUUUAUUUAAUUUAGAAACCAAAUCCGAGCCCAACUAGCCAAAUAUUUCGGACCAGCCCAACAUUUAAAAAAAAAAAAACCAAAUCAGCUACCCGACCCAGCCCAUGCUCUAAAUUCACCAGCCCACUAUUUUAGCCCAAGACCCGGUCCAUUAACGCUUCGACCCGAUCCGACCCGCUUGGUUCAAUAAAUAUGAAAACCAUUAGGUCUUCAUCCUUUUCCCUCUUCAGCCGCAUACCUCCCUCGCCUUCUCUCUCUCCUCCGCUCUCUCUCCCUCUCUUUUUCCCCUUCCUUCCAUUUCCGGCUAAAAUCCACCAUCCCUAUAACCAUGGACAGUGUUGACCUCCCAUUUUCGUGCAAACUUCGUUUGCUUCCUCUUCAGCCGCUCAUCUCUCGUCCCUUUCGUCUCUGUCUUUCCCCUGCAUUUCUCGACUAAAAAUGGCAAAAUCGCAGUCAUCUUUCACCUCCCCAGGUCGUGCAUGGCCAUAUCGGGAAGGGCAUUUAAUGUUUGUGCAUGGCCAGUUGCGAAUCGUCGUCUUCCUCUGUUGACUGUUGUCGAUCUGAAACACUUUUAAUGGAAUUCGUCCGUUUUUGAACGUAUACAAAUUCGGGUUUCGUAGUGUUUCGAGGUGGAUCGAAGAUUCAAGGCCUCACUUCGCUGCACCCGAAGAAGGUAAAUCCCAUUCCUUUCCUUUUUAUUUUUAGUUUUGUGUGUUAUAUGCUUGUAUGAUUCAGUUUGGUGCCUAACUUAGUUACUGUUGUUCGAUGAGUUAAUAUUAUAUUUUAGCUUAGUUCAGAUCUCGUUGAAUGUUGCCGUUAUCAUCUGGCUUAGGCUAUUAGCAUGUUUGGCUCGAUGUGAACAUUGUUUCUUUAUAUGUUGAUAACUCAAUCUAGCAAAUUCUAUAGGUUCAUUUUAGGUUUCAUUCCUAGUCAAUUUGGUUAAUGAUUAGUUAGGCAUGUCGUUUGCAGUUGUUCAUGUUAGUUAAACUUAAUCUGAUACGACCUAGCCAAUCUAGUAUGAAUCAGUUAAGUAACCAUGUGGAUAGCUUGAGGGCAUGAACAACCUGUUCAUUAAUACGUCUUGUGUUAGUUAAGUUCAAAUCAAUUAGUUAUUGUAAAAUGACAUGCUAAGUAGUCUCCUUAUUAAAGGCUUGUUUUUAGAUGAUUUCAGUUUAGCCAGCAUCAGUGGUCUGUGUUGUUAAUUCGCUAUUGGGUUUAGUAUCUAAAGAGCUCGGAAUGUGUUUCUUUGAAGGGAUACAAAUAUUGGACUCAGUUCUGUUCCCUGUUGUUGGACUCUAUAUUUAAAAGAAGGAAGUUUCAAUUUGUUGAGGUUGCUGUUUCCUUACUGUGAUUUGGCAUUUCCCUGCCUUGAAUGAAACUUAUUUGCCAUGGUUUUCAUGCAUGAUGUUGUUUUCCUGUGUUUGUAUAAAAUCAGUUAAGUGCUCUCUCUUUCUUGGUAUGUUAUGAAGAUCUAAAAUGAGCGAUUAAGGUUAAUAUGUAUAGCCAUCAUUUGAAAACUAGGAGACAGAUUGGAGGAGCAGAACAUCUGAAUCAGUAAGGAAUAAGUGUUGGUUAGCGAGCAUGUGUUAUCAUGCAUUUAGUUUGGCAUUUAGUUAAAUUAGUUUAAUCAUAGUUAAUAGGCAUUAACGGUCAUAUGCCCAGUUGGCUGCCUAAAAUCAGUACGGGUUAGUUAAUUAAAUUUCAUGGAUGUCUAAGCUUUACAUUGACUAUAGUAUGAGUAUGAAAUAUGAAAGCUGUUCUUUUUUUUUUCAGUCUUCCAUUUCGUUUUAACUGUCAUAUGAGUUCAGGAUAAAAGCAUAUGUUGAGGUCUGCUUUAAUUUCAGUUGGUGUGACUUGUUAUUUUUGAUAUCGUUUGUAUAAGCUAAACCGUGGGGGCUACAGUUGUGUUAAUUGAUCAAAUAUGUUUGUUAAAUCUUAUUGAGUGUGAUCCAGCGCAUACUUUUCCUGUUUUGAUUCAAUAUAAUGUGAUAGCAUAUCAUGUUAUGAUGGUUUAGUGUGUUACCAAAUUGUACAGUGGCAUUCCACCCAAUCAUUUGCAUAUUCCUAAUUUGCUUAAAAUGGGUCAGAAGACUUCUGAAAUCAGCCUCUAUAGCAUGAAUGAGUCUGUUUGAUGACUUUAUGUCUAUGCAAAUCUUAUAUAUUCAUACAUUACGAUGUAAUGUGCUGGGAUAAUGUAUAUUGAGUUUAUAUUAUUACAUGCUUAACCUUAUGAGUUGAUCGCAUACUAAUCUUUUCCUCUUUCAUUUUUGCAUGAACCUUACAUACGAGUCCAAGGGACUCGUCUCCCUCCGCAUUCGGUGUUGGGCUAAAAACCCAACGAAAUCUUCUCUCGGUCCAUCCCUGUCCACAGCAAAAAUGGAAAACAUAAAUGCUGGGCCAAAGCCCAAUAGGCAUGAACAGUGCGCAGCAGUUUAAAAAAAUGGGCUGAGCUCAUUCUCCCAACGGCAGCUAUGGAUCACAGUGGCUUAAAACGGGCAGGCCCAUUUGAUAUUAUUUGGCCCCUUUUAUUUUAUUUUGUGCCUUUAAUUUGUAUGAUGCAACUAACCCUUUUAUUUUGUUUUUUUUGUUUUGUUUUUUAACUUAGACGAAUUCUAGGAGAAUUAGUGGAGUUAGCUUAGGGUAAAGGGGAGUUAACUUAGGGAAAGACCCGCAAUAAAUCCCAUAGAUUUCAUU